rnacentral:rRNA from 1 species
UACGUAGGGGCAAGCGUUGUCCGGAAUCAUUGGGCGUAAAGAGCGCGUAGGCGGCCCUGUAAGUCCGCUGUGAAAGUCAAGGGCUCAACCCUUGGAUGCCGGUGGAUACUGCAGGGCUAGAGUCCGGAAGAGGCGAGUGGAAUUCCUGGUGUAGCGGUGAAAAUGCGCAGAUAUCAGGAGGAACACCGAUGGCGAAGGCAGCUCGCUGGGACGGUACUGACGCUGAGGCGCGAAAGCGUGGGGAGCAAAACAGG